rfam:Lactobacillus lindneri DSM 20690 = JCM 11027 strain DSM 20690 NODE_49, whole genome shotgun sequence.
GUAAGGCCCUGAAGCAAAGGCAGACUUACGAACCGUGUCAGAUCCGGAAGGAAGCAGCACUAAGUAUUUCCUGCUUUGUGCUUCUUGAUUUAGCUAA